rnacentral:tRNA from 1 species
CCCUGGGUGGCUCAGUCGGUUAAGCGUCUGACUUCAGUUCAGGUCAUGAUCUCACAGUUUGUGGGUUUGGGCCCCACACUGGGGU